rnacentral:rRNA from 1 species
AUGUCGCAAGGACAAGAAAGAAGAUCGGAAAAGUUGCUGCCGGUUGCCCUCCUAGGGCUAGGGAUCCUCCUCCAGCUCGCUGGCUGCAGCCCUCCACCGGACCCGGUGGUGUGCACGCACGGCACGUCCAACUGCACCGUCACCAACACGUACGGCUUCUUCCUCUGCCCCGCGGCCAACGUCACCUACCCGCGGACAGAGAAAGAGCUCGUCGCGGCUGUGGCGGCCGUGGCGGCCGUGAAACGGAAGGUGAAAGUGGCCACCAAGCACUCACACAGCAUCCCCAAGCUCGCGUGCCCCGGCGGCCACGAUGGCACAAUCAUAAGCACCGCGCGGCUGAACCGGACAGUGCGCGUCGACGCCGAGAAGCGACUCAUGACGGUGGAGAGCGGCAUGCUACUCCGGGACCUCAUCGAGGCCGCCGCCGCCGAGGGCCUGUCCUUGCCGCAUUCACCGUACUGGUCCGGCCUGACCAUCGGUGGGCUCCUGGCGACGGGCGCGCACGGGAGCUCGCUGUGGGGCAAAGGGGGCGCUGUUCACGAGUACGUGGUCGGGCUGAGGAUCGUGACGCCGGCGCCGGCCAGCCAGGGGUUCGCCGUGGUGAGGGAGCUUGGCGCCCAUCACCCGGACCUGGACGCCGCCAAGGUCUCCAUUGGCGUGCUGGGCGUCAUCUCUCAGGUAACUCUGGCCUUGCAGUCGCUGUUCAAGCGGUCGGUGACGUUCGUGAAGCGGGACGACUCAGACUUCGCGGACCGGGUGGCCAUGUGGGGCCGCCUCCACGAGUUCGGCGACAUGAUCUGGCUGCCGCAGCAGGGCAAGGUCGUCUACCGCCAGGACGACCGCGUCGACGUCUCCACGCCAGGCGACGGCCUCAAUGACAUGUUCCUUUUCCGCGCCAAUCCCACCCGGGCGACCAUCGCUGCAAGAGCCGCGGAGGAGCUGCUGCAGGAGAACAGCACCGACACCGCCCGGUGCGCGGCGGCGCAACUGCAGGCGGACACGCUGGAGAGGCUGGCCUACGGCUUCACCAACGAUGGCGCCUCCUUCACGGGGUACCCGGUGGUGGGGUACCAGCACCGCAUCCAGGCGUCUGGCACAUGCGUCGACAGCCCAGAGGACGGCCUCCGCUCCGCCUGCGGCUGGGACCCGUGGAUCCCGAGUUCUUUCAACGACAACUCCGGCUUCAGCGUCGCUCUCUCCAAGGCGCCGGCAUUCAUCGCUGACAUGCAGCGCCUCCGGGAUCUCAACCCUGCCGUGUUUUGUGCUGGCGUCGACCCUAGGAUAGGUGUGGCCUUCCGCUACAUCAAGGCAUCAUCUGCCUACCUCGGCAAGGCCGAGGACUCGAUUGCCAUCGACAUCGUCUACUACCGUAGCCACACCGCCGGCAUGCCACGCGUGCACGCCGACGUGGUGGACGAGAUCGAGCAGAUGGCGUUGCGCAAGUACGAUGCCCUGCCGCACUGGGGCAAGAACCGCAAUAUCGCUUUCAACGGUGCCAUCUCGAAGUACCCAAAAGCCAACGAGUUCCUAAUGGUGAAGGAUAGGUACGACCCUGACGGACUCUUCUCCAGUGAGUGGAGCGACCAGGUGCUCGGCAUCAAUGGGAGUCCCAAUAUCACCAAAGAGCAUUGUGCCAUCGAAGGACUCUGCGUCUGCUCCAAGGACUCGCAUUGCGCGCCUGAGCAGGGCUACUUCUGCCGACCGGGGAAGGUGUACGCGAAGGCUAGAGUUUGCUCAUUUGGCAAGGAUUAUUAG